UGUCUAUAUAUUCAUAUAAUAUUCAUAUAAAGUGCCAUACUAACUAGUCUGAACAAGACAUUUUCACUCUCCUCGUACAUACAGCAACUUAUUUAUUUAAAAACAACAAAACAUCCACAAGAGUCUUUUUGUAAUAGUUAACAAAUGCACAAUAAAUAUGCAUUCAACAACUGCAUUUCCCAAAUUUCCUUUUUGCCUAUGCAACGGCUUAAUGAGUAACCUGAUAUGGCCGGUAACUUCCAUGAGAAAACAAAGAUUUUUUUUUUUUUUUUUUUGAGAUUUACACCCUCCCUUCUCCUGGCUUUUUCCUUCUGUUUCUCUGACAACAGCCCACUCUAUUUAAACCAGCGCCUUGACCCACCCUGCACAGACUCUGAACCUAAACCUGAAGCUUGGUCAAUAUGGAAACAAAAUCAAUGGAGCUUGGAAAAAUGGAUACAUCCCCCAGGAAUGAGCCCACUUAUCUUGCCUGGUCCAUCUUCAACACUUUUUGUUGCUGUUUGCCACUUGGAAUUGCAGCAAUCGUCUACUCAUGCAGAGUAGACAAUGCUAAUACUCUUGGAGAUGCUGGAAAAGCUCAAGAGUCCUCCAGGAUAGCAAAGAACCUGAAUAUUGCUUCACUGGUGCUGGGGCUCAUUGGUUUAAUUUUGGUGAUUGUAAUGCUAGUGAUUUAAAAAAAAAUGUAAGCAAGCUUGUGAAGGAAUUUUUUUUUUUUUUGCUAUUCAAACAUCACUGAACUUCACUACUCAACUCCAGAGAUGAUGAAGACCAGCUGUGGCUUCAAAAUUAAAUAAGCAAUGGCCACACAAAGUUGCUUAUAUUUUGGGGUUUAUGCUACAGAAAUAUAAAUUUGAUUAGUUAAAAAAUGUCUUUGAAAACUGUAAAAGUCCCAAGUUUAAAACUAAAUCUGUUUAAAAAAGCAAAAAAUUGUUCAUACAUGUGAAUGAUGUUUUAUGACAGAUAAUGUAAUGAAAUCUCAUUCAAAUUAAUGAAAUCUUCAUUUUAAUUAGUCUAGUCAUUUUACAAUGAAGUACAUUUACGAUGCGCUGUAUUCAAAGUACCAUAAUCACAUAACUAUGUUAAACAUUUACAUGUAUAAAUAUAAAUGGUAAAUGGUGUAUGUAAUGGUUUUCUCCAAUUAUGUUCUAUCAUUUUAUUCACAAGUAUUUUUUUACAUACUUAAUAAGCCAUAAAAAUGUACCAACUUGGUUCUCAUAUUUUAUGCUUUGGUCAAGUAACUUCUCUAUUAUAUAUGUAAAAUAUUGCCAUGCACUCAAGUAUGUACUUUUUCUUAUGUCACUACUACAUCAAUGUCUAUUAAAAUUUAUUUCAUCCAUCUA